rnacentral:rRNA from 1 species
UACCAGACUCCUACGGGAGGCAGCAGUGGGGAAUAUUGCACAAUGGGGGAAACCCUGAUGCAGCAACGCCGCGUGAGUGAAGAAGUAUUUCGGUAUGUAAAGCUCUAUCAGCAGGGAAGAAGAAAGACGGUACCUGACUAAGAAGCCCCGGCUAACUACGUGCCAGCAGCCGCGGUAAUACGUAGGGGGCAAGCGUUAUCCGGAUUUACUGGGUGUAAAGGGAGCGUAGACGGCUGUGCAAGUCUGAAGUGAAAGCCCGUGGCUCAACCCCGGGACUGCAUUUGGAACUGUGUGGCUGGAGUGUCGGAGAGGCAGGCGGAAUUCCUAGUGUAGUGGUGAAAUGCGUAGAUAUUAGGAGGAACACCAGUGGCGAAGGCGGCCUGCUGGACGAUGACUGACGUUGAGGCUCGAAAGCGUGGGGAGCAAACAGGAUUAGAUACCCCCGUA